rnacentral:rRNA from 1 species
CACGCCGUAAACGCUGAGAACUAAGUGUUGGGGUGAAACCCAGCGCUGAAGCUAACGCAUUAAGUUCUCCGCCUGAGGAGUACGGUCGCAAGACUGAAACUUAAAGGAAUUGACGGGGGCCCGCACAAGCAGUGGAGCAUGUGGUUUAAUUCGAUGCUACGCGAAGAACCUUACCAGGGCUUGACAUAGUUCUAAGACUCUAGAAAUAGAGGGAUAUACAGAACAUACAGGUGG